GCUGUGCUCCAGCCACCCAGUGUUCCUCCUCAGACAUAACCACUAUUACCACGACACAAAUUCUUGUGUCUCUUUUCAGAUCCUGUAGUUGCUGUCAUCAGAGAUGUCUUAUAUUGCUGAUCUGAAGUCUGGACAAUUCUGGAGGGCAUGUUAUGAGAAGAAUCCAUGAAGUAACAGAAAGUUUCCAAGACCUUCAAGCAGGCCCUUGAUGAAGAGAAAGGAGAUACAUUCUUCAUCA